CGUGGAUCAGAAUGCCACGGUGAAUACGUUCCCGGGCCUUGUACACACCGCCCGUCACACCAUGGGAGUGGGUUGCAAAAGAAGUAGGUAGCUUAACCUUCGGGAGGGCGCUUACCACUUUGUGAUUCAUGACUGGGGUGAAGUCGUAACAAGGUAACCGUAGGGGAACCUGCGGUUGGAUCACCUCCUUACCUUAAAGAAGC
rnacentral:rRNA from 1 species